rnacentral:rRNA from 1 species
AUACGUAGGGGGCGAGCGUUGUCCGGAAUGAUUGGGCGUAAAGGGCGCGUAGGCGGCCCGGUAAGUCUGGAGUGAAAGCCCUGUUUUUAAGAUGGGAAUUGCUUUGGAUACUGUCGGGCUUGAGUGCAGGAGAGGUAAGUGGAAUUCCCAGUGUAGCGGUGAAAUGCGUAGAGAUUGGGAGGAACACCAGUGGCGAAGGCGACUUACUGGACUGUAACUGACGCUGAGGCGCGAAAGUGUGGGGAGCAAACAGGAUUAGAUACCCUGGUAGUCCACACUGUAAACGAUGAAUGCUAGGUGUAGGGGGUAUCGACCCCUUCUGUGCCGCAGUCAACACAAUAAGCAUUCCGCCUGGGGAGUACGGCCGCAAGGUUGAAACUCAAAGGAAUUGACGGGG